UACAGAGGGGCAAGCGUUGUUCGGAAUUACUGGGCGUAAAGGGCGCGUAGGCGGCCUUCUAAGUCGAACGUGAAAUCCCCGGGCUCAACCCGGGAACUGCGUCCGAUACUGGAAGGCUUGAAUCCGGGAGAGGGAUGUGGAAUUCCAGGUGUAGCGGUGAAAUGCGUAGAUAUCUGGAGGAACACCGGUGGCGAAGGCGACAUCCUGGACCGGUAUUGACGCUGAGGCGCGAAAGCCAGGGGAGCAAACGGG
rnacentral:rRNA from 1 species